CUGAUGAACAGAGAAGUCUCAUAGCUAAUAACCAGAGGGAAGUCACUCACUACUGAAUGCCAGCGAUGGGAGAUCAUGUAUCCAAGUUUGAAGUAGAAUAGUCCGUUCUACUUUCUCUGCACUCAGCCAUCCAUACCCUUAUAGGCCUUAAAGCCUUGCAAAGGGGCUACUUUAUCAGGAUCAGAGCUCUUCCAAAGUAGACUUAUAUUUCAAGGGUUUUCUUUUGUGGUUGUAAUGGGUGAGAGUUCUCCUGGAGACCUUCAUCAUGUUGCA